CGCGUAGGCGGUGGACACAGUCAGGCGUGAAAUUCCCGGGCUCAACCUGGGGGCUGCGCUUGAUACAUGUUCGCUGGAGUUCGGAAGAGGGUCGUGGAAUUCCCAGUGUAGAGGUGAAAUUCGUAGAUAUUGGGAAGAACACCGGUGGCGAAGGCGGCGACCUGGUCCGAUACUGACGCUGAGGCGCGAAAGCGUGGGGAGCAAACAGGAUUAGAUACCCUGGUAGUCCACGCCGUAAACGAUGUGCGCUGGAUGUUGGGCGGUCUGACCGCUCAGUGUCGUAGCCAACGCGAUAAGCGCACCGCCUGGGGAGUACGGCCGCAAGGUUGAA
rnacentral:rRNA from 1 species